CACGUAGGCGGACAUUUAAGUCAGGGGUGAAAUCCCGGGGCUCAACCCCGGAACUGCCUUUGAUACUGGGUGUCUUGAGUGUGGAAGAGGUGAGUGGAAUUCCGAGUGUAGAGGUGAAAUUCGUAGAUAUUCGGAGGAACACCAGUGGCGAAGGCGGCUCACUGGUCCACAACUGACGCUGAGGUGCGAAAGCGUGGGGAGCAAACA
rnacentral:rRNA from 1 species